CCAGGAUGUAGUAUGAUGGUCACUCACUGCUGGUUUCUUCUCGCCUUUACGUCUCAGAUCAAUAAAAGCCGAUAUCUCGCCUUUACGUCUCAGAGUGAGUUAUUGAUGGUGCAUCAAGAAGGCCAUGGACUGACAUGUCAGAAACCUUGUGUCAGGACCGAGACUGGAGAGAGGAGAUGGCCAGCAUACAGACAGUUGUUGCAAUGAUACAUGGAGCGAAAUGGUCCCUGUGGAAACCAUGGUGAUCAUCAGUAAGCAGAAUAUUGUUGAAUAGAAUAUGUAGUGCUUGUUAACACUGUCAUGACUUUGUUAAUAAAGAAAAAUAGACUGAAGGAGGAGUCAUACUUAUUGUGAAC